rnacentral:rRNA from 1 species
CGGGGGAGACUAACAGGAUUCCCCUAGUAACUGCGAGUGAAGCGGGAAGAGCUCAAAUUUCGAAUCUGGCGGUCUUUCGGCCGUCCGAAUUGUAAUCUAGAGAAGUGUUUUCCGCGCUGGACCGUGUACAAGUCUCCUGGAAGGGAGCGUCAUAGAGGGUGAGAAUCCCGUCUUUGACACGGACUACCAGUGCUAUGUGAUGCACUCUCGACGAGUCGAGUUGUUUGGGAAUGCAGCUCAAAAUGGGUGGUAAAUUCCAUCUAAAGCUAAAUACAGGCGAGAGACCGAUAGCGAACAAGUACCGUGAGGGAAAGAUGAAAAGAACUUUGGAAAGAGAGUUAAACAGUACGUGAAAUUGCUGAAAGGGAAACGCUUGAUGUCAGUCACGUCAGCCAGGAAUCAACCUUGCUUCAUCGCUGGGUGCAUUUCCUGGUUCGACGGGUCAGCAUCAGUUUCAAGUUCCAUCGUACAAUGGCAAGGGGAACGUGGCACUCUUCGGAGUGUGUUAUAGCCUUUCGUCGUAUGCGGUGGUUGGGACUGAGGAACUCGGCACGACCUUCUUCAGGUCUGUGUCUAGGAUGCUGGCAUAAUGGCCUUAAGCGACCCGUCUUGAAACACGGACCAAGGAGUCUAACAUGCCUGCGAGUGUUUGGGUGCUAAAACCCGGGCGCGUAAUGAAAGUGAAAGUCGAGACCUCUGUCAUGGAGGGCAUCGACGCCCGGACCCAAGUCUUUGACAAAGGAUCUGCGGUAGAGCAUGUAUGUUGGGACCCGAAAGAUGGUGAACUAUGCCUGAUAGGGUGAAGCCAGAGGAAACUCUGGUGGAGGCUCGUAGCGAUUCUGACGUGCAAAUCGAUCGUCGAAUUUGGGGUAUAGGGGCGAAAAGACUAAUCGAACCAUCUACUAUCUGGUUUCCUGCCCGAAGUUUUCCUUCAGGAAUAGCAGAAACUCAUGGGAUCAGAUCUAUGUGGAUAAAGCCGAUGAUUUAGAGGCCUUGGGGUUUGAAACACCCUUAACCUAUUCUUCCAACCUUUAAAUUCUGUAACACGUACUGUACGCUUUCGAUGGCAACGCUCUCGUGCGAAUUGAACAGAUUUUCUAAGUGGAGUC